rfam:Schistosoma mansoni strain Puerto Rico chromosome 3, complete genome
CUGCCGCUGAGGAGUCCCACAAUAGGACGAAACGACAGUCCAGUUCUUGCAG